CGAUUGAGAGUUUCUAGUGGGCCAUUUUUGGUAAGCAGAACUGGCGAUGCGGGAUGAACCGAACGUGAGGUUAAGGUGCCGGAAUUCACGCUCAUCAGACACCACAAAAGGUGUUAGUUCAUCUAGACAGCAGGACGGUGGCCAUGGAAGUCGGAAUCCGCUAAGGAGUGUGUAACAACUCACGGGCCGAAUGAACUAGCCCUGAAAAUGGAUGGCGCUUAAGCGUGAUACCCAUACCUCACCGUCAGGGUUGAAAUGAUGCACUGACGAGUAGGCAGGCGUGGAGGUUCAGGAAGAAGCCUGG
rnacentral:rRNA from 1 species